rnacentral:rRNA from 1 species
AACGUAGGAGACAAACGUUAUCCGGAUUUACUGGGCGUAAAGGGCGUGUAGGUGGUUCUGUAAGUCUGGCGUGAAAUUUCUCGGCUUAACCGAGGCAGGUCGUCGGAUACUGCAGGGCUAGAGGACGGUAGAGGCGUGUGGAAUUCCGGGUGUAGUGGUGAAAUGCGUAGAGAUCCGGAGGAACACCAGUGGCGAAGGCGACACGCUGGGCCGUACCUGACACUGAUGCGCGACAGCAUGGGGAGCAAACAGG